ACGUAGGGAGCGAGCGUUGUCCGGAAUUACUGGGUGUAAAGGGAGCGUAGGCGGGAUUGCAAGUCAGAUGUGAAAACUAUGGGCUUAACCCAUAGACUGCAUUUGAAACUGUAGUUCUUGAGUGAAGUAGAGGUAAGCGGAAUUCCUAGUGUAGCGGUGAAAUGCGUAGAUAUUAGGAGGAACAUCGGUGGCGAAGGCGGCUUACUGGGCUUUUACUGACGCUGAGGCUCGAAAGCGUGGGGAGCAAACAG
rnacentral:rRNA from 1 species